AAUAGAUACCCUGGUAGUCCACGCCGUAAACGAUGAGUGCUAAGUGUUAGGGGUUUCCGCCCCUUAGUGCUGCAGCUAACGCAUUAAGCACUCCGCCUGGGGAGUACGGUCGCAAGACUGAAACUCAAAGGAAUUGACGGGGGCCCGCACAAGCGGUGGAGCAUGUGGUUUAAUUCGAAGCAACGCGAAGAACCUUACCAGGUCUUGACAUCCCACUGACCGCUAUGGAGACAUAGUUUUCCCUUCGGGGACAGUGGUGACAGGUGGUGCAUGGUUGUCGUCAGCUCGUGUCGUGAGAUGUUGGGUUAAGUCCCGCAACGAGCGCAACCCUUGAUCUUAGUUGCCAUCAUUUAGUUGGGCACUCUAAGGAGACUGCCGGUGACAAACCGGAGGAAGGUGGGGAUGACGUCAAAUCAUCAUGCCCCUUAUGACCUGGGCUACACACGUGCUACAAUGGACGGUACAAACGGUUGCCAACCCGCGAGGGGGAGCUAAUCCGAUAAAACCGUUCUCAGUUCGGAUUGUAGGCCUGCAACUCGCCUA
rnacentral:rRNA from 1 species